rnacentral:rRNA from 1 species
AGCUCCAAUAGCGUAUAUUAAAGUUGUUGCGGUUAAAAAGCUCGUAGUUGGAUUUCUGUCGAGAGUGAUCGGUCUGCACAUUGUGCAUGUAUCUGUUAACUCUUGGCAUCCUCUUGGGGAUCGUUUCUGCGCUUAGUUGCGUGGGGCGGAAUUCAAGACUUUUACUUUGAGGAAAUUAGAGUGUUCACGGCAAGCUAUCGCUUUGAAUACAUUAGCAUGGAAUAAUAAUAUAGGGCGUAAGUCUUAUUUUGUUGGUUUCUAGGACAUACGCAAUGAUUAAUAGGGAUAAUUGGGGGCAUUCGUAUUGACACGUCAGAGGUGGAAUUCUUAGAUUGUGUCACGACGAACUACUGCG